UACAGAGGUCUCAAGCGUUGUUCGGAUUCAUUGGGCGUAAAGGGUGCGUAGGCGGCCACGACAAGUCACUCGUGAAAUCUCCGGGCUUAACUCGGAACGGUCAAGUGAUACUGUCGGGCUAGAGUACAGAAGGGGCAACUGGAAUUCUCGGUGUAGCGGUGAAAUGCGUAGAUAUCAAGAGGAACACCUGAGGUGAAGACGGGUUGCUGGGCUGACACUGACGCUGAGGCGCGAAAGCCAGGGGAGCAAACGGG
rnacentral:rRNA from 1 species